AACGAACGCUGGCGGCAGGCUUAACACAUGCAAGUCGAACGCCCCGCAAGGGGAGUGGCAGACGGGUGAGUAACGCGUGGGAACAUACCCUUUGGUGCGGAACAACAACUGGAAACGGUUGCUAAUACCGCAUGAGCCCUACGGGGGAAAGAUUUAUCGCCAAAGGAUUGGCACGCGUCGGAUGAGCUAGUUGGUGGGGUAAUGGCCUACCAAGGCGACGAUCCGUAGCUGGUCUGAGAGGAUGAUCAGCCACACUGGGACUGAGACACGGCCCAGACUCCUACGGGAGGCAGCAGUGGGGAAUAUUGGACAAUGGGCGCAAGCCUGAUCCAGCCAUGCCGCGUGAGUGAUGAAGGCCCUAGGGUUGUAAAGCUCUUUCAGCGAGGAGGAUAAUGACGUUACUCGCAGAAGAAGCCCCGGCUAACUUCGUGCCAGCCGCCGCGGUAA
rnacentral:rRNA from 1 species